GGUGGCCAAGUGGUUAGAGCGUCCGCCUCGGAUGCGGAAGGUCGUGGGUUCGAUACCCGGUCGAGUCA